CCACUCUCAUGAUGUCCAGCACUGGACUCCGAUCACCCCUGAGGAUGAAGUGCCCGCCGGACUUUGACACCUGGGGGUCUAAGGGGCCA
ensembl:snoRNA